AUGCUUGUUGAUCAAGCGUGCACGCAUGGAUGCCACAUGCAGGUCACGGAGGAGGUGAGGAGGCUGAUGGAGGCGCACAAGGAGGAGGUGACCAGCAUCACCGUCACGGGCCACAGCCUUGGCGCGUCGCUGGCGACCCUCAACGCAGUCGACAUGGUCUCCCAAGGCGUGAACGUGCCGCCCUCCUCGGCACAGCAGCAGCCUCCGUGCCCAGUGACGGCGAUCCUCUUCGCGAGCCCGCACGUAGGCAACGACAGCUUCAAGUCGGCCUUCGCUUCGUUCCCAGACCUCCGUGCGCUUCAUAUGAGGAACGCCGGCGACGUGGUGCCCCUAUACCCGCCGAUCGGGUACGUGGAUGCGGCGACGGCGGUGCUGCUCGUGGACACUGGCCGGUCGCCAUACCUGAAGCAGCCGGGCACUGUGCAGACGCGCCACAACCUCGAGUGCUACCUGCACGGCGUGGCCGGGUUCCAGGGUGCCGGCGGAGGGUUCAAACUUGAGGUGGACCGCGACGUGGCCCUGGUGAACAAGGGUGUUGACGCGCUCAAGGAUAAGUAUCCAGUGCCGCCCAACUGGCAUGUUAUCAACAACAAGUCCAUGGUGAGGGACUCCGAUGGUCACUGGAAGCUCAGAGACUUCGAGGAGACCUGA
rnacentral:rRNA from 1 species